rnacentral:lncRNA from 1 species
CUGGCUGCAGGAACCACAAGUUCCAGACUAGGUCGGAAUUCCGAAUAAUCACAGUCAAAAUCCACCCAGAUACUCUCACACGCCCAGCCGCGCGCGCAUCCCGGGGCCGCGGGGCACACGUGAGCCCACGCCCCGCGCGCCCGUCCCUGCCUCCUGCCGGAGCAUCCUCGGCUUGGGCGGCAGACGCAGCCGCCGCCGCCUCCUCCUCCUCUCGCCACCGCCUACACCGUCUCCUCUCCCCUCUCGUCCUCCUUCCUCCCCCAGUUCCUGCUCCUCCUCCCGUCCUCGGCGGCGAAGGGCAGAACCCUCAGCAGCGGCUGCCUGCGCUUGGGCCGCCAAGAGCCUGGAACAGAUUUCGAAGACACAGCUGGAAAGGGGACAGUGCUCUCCAAGUUGGACAUCGCUGGAAAAGGCUUAUGACCUAACCCCACCACUUGCUAGCUAAAAAUCUGGCACCUAGUCUCCCCUAGGGAUGGACAUAAGUGCCUUUGAAGUGCUACUUCCCCAUCAGACAGAUUUAAGAAUGCCCUUUGUACUUAUCCAUCCUUCACUUCACCUAGCGUGCCACAAACACAGCCUGUCACUGGGAUGCUUUUGAGUUGUCAGAAGAUGGGUGGGUUAUUGUACCCAGAGGAAUCCUUUAGAUUAUUUGAACUAUUGACACCUACGAUUUAUGGUUUCCCACUUACCUCGAAAUCUUGGUAUUUGGCAAAUAGCUUUGGAUCCUAACUGAUAUUUGUUGGAUUUCUUUUUUUUUUCCUUUAGAGGUUUGGAAUACAGUAAGGAUAGUUCACAGGGGAACCAAUGGUCAGACAGUAUAAUUAUUCAUCUUCACGGCCUUGAAAAAAAUGGUUUUUGGUUGUUAAACUCAUAAGUGUCCCAUCUUAAAGUGAGGGCGUCUCUUCUUCAGAGUGCUGAAUAAUUAAAAACU